rnacentral:rRNA from 1 species
UACGGGGGGGGGCAAGCGUUGGUUCGGAAUUACUGGGCGUAAAGGGCUCGUAGGUGGCCAACUAAGUCAGACGUGAAAUCCCUCGGCUUAACCGGGGAACUGCGUCUGAUACUGGAUGGCUUGAGUUCGGUAGGGGAGACUGGAAUUCCUGGUGUAGCGGUGAAAUGCGCAGAUAUCAGGAGGAACACCGGUGGCGAAGGCGGGUCUCUGGGCCGAUACUGACGCUGAGGAGCGAAAGCGUGGGGAGCAAACAGG